UUAGAACGUCGUGAGACAGUUCGGUCCCUAUCUGCCGUGGGCGCUGGAGAACUGAGGGGGGCUGCUCCUAGUACGAGAGGACCGGAGUGGACGCAUCACUGGUGUUCGGGUUGUCAUGCCAAUGGCAUGCCCGGUAGCUAAAUGCGGAAGAGAUAAGUGCUGAAAGCAUCUAAGCACGAAACUUGCCCCGAGAUGAGUUCUCCCUGACCCUUUAAGGGUCCUGAAGGAACGUUGAAGACGACGACGUUGAUAGG
rnacentral:rRNA from 1 species